UUGCCAGCCCGCUCAGAAACUUAAAGGAAUUGACGGGGGCCCGCACAAGCGGUGGAGCAUGUGGUUCAAUUCGACGCAACGCGAAGAACCUUACCUGGGCUAGACAACAGUGGACCGUCCUAGAAAUAGGACUUUCCCUUCCGGGGACCGCUGGUUCAGGUGCUGCAUGGCUGUCGUCAGCUCGUGCCGUGAGGUGUUGGGUUAAGUCCCGCAACGAGCGCAACCCUCGUACUUAGUUGCCACCAUUAAGUUGGGCACUCUAGGUAGACUGCCGGCGUUAAGCCGGAGGAAGGUGGGGACGACGUCAAGUCAUCAUGGCCCUUAUGUCCAGGGCCACACACGUGCUACAAUGGGCGGCACAAAGGGUCGCGAACCCGCGAGGGGGAGCCAAUCCCAAAAAGCCGUUCUCAGUUCGGAUUGGAGUCUGCAACUCGACUCCAUGAAGUUGGAAUCGCUAGUAAUCGCGGAUCAGCACGCCGCGGUGAAUACGUUCCCGGGCCUU
rnacentral:rRNA from 1 species